GGGAAUCUGGCUCAGUGGUAGAGCACUUGCCUAGCACGCAUGAAGCCCUGGGUUCGAAUCCUCAGUACCA
rnacentral:tRNA from 1 species